rnacentral:rRNA from 1 species
GAUGAACGCUGGCGGCGUGCCUAAUACAUGCAAGUCGAGCGAACAGACGAGGAGCUUGCUCCUCUGACGUUAGCGGCGGACGGGUGAGUAGCACGUGGAUAACCUACCUAUAAGACUGGGAUAACUUCGGGAAACCGGAGCUAAUACCGGAUAAUAUAUUGAACCGCAUGGUUCAAUAGUGAAAGACGGUUUUGCUGUCACUUAUAGAUGGAUCCGCGCCGCACUAGCUAGUUGGUAAGGUAACGGCUUACCAAGGCAACGAUGCGUAGCCGACCUGAGAGGGUGAUCGGCCACACUGGAACUGAGACACGGUCCAGACUCCUACGGGAGGCAGCAGUAGGGAAUCUUCCGCAAUGGGCGAAAGCCUGACGGAGCAACGCCGCGUGAGUGAUGAAGGUCUUCGGAUCGUAAAACUCUGUUAUUAGGGAAGAACAAAUGUGUAAGUAACUAUGCACGUCUUGACGGUACCUAAUCAGAAAGCCACGGCUAACUACGUG